rnacentral:rRNA from 1 species
UUGAGUUCGGGCCGCACGCGCGCUACACUGACGGAGCCAGCGAGUACUUCCUUGUCCGAAAGGUCCGGGUAAUCUUGUUAAACUCCGUCGUGCUGGGGAUAGAGCAUUGCAAUUAUUGCUCUUCAACGAGGAAUCCCUAGUAAGCGCAAGUCAUCAGCUUGCGUUGAUUACGUCCCUGCCCUUUGUACACACCGCCCGUCGCUACUACCGAUUGAAUGGCUCAGUGAGGCGUCCGGACUGGCCCAGAGAGGUGGGCAACUACCACUCAGGGCCGGAAAGCUCUCCAAACUCGGUCAUUUAGAGGAAGUAAAAGUCGUAACAAGGUCUCCGUUGGUGAACCAGCGGAGGGAUCAUUACCGAGUUUACAACUCCCAAACCCCUGUGAACAUACCUAUACGUUGCCUCGGCGGAUCAGCCCGCGCCCUGUAAAACGGGACGGCCCGCCCGAGGACCCUAAACUCUGUUUUUAGUGGAACUUCUGAGUAAAACAAACAAAUAAAUCAAAACUUUCAACAACGGAUCUCUUGGUUCUGGCAUCGAUGAAGAACGCAGCAAAAUGCGAUAAGUAAUGUGAAUUGCAGAAUUCAGUGAAUCAUCGAAUCUUUGAACGCACAUUGCGCCCGCCAGUAUUCUGGCGGGCAUGCCUGUUCGAGCGUCAUUUCAACCCUCAAGCUCAGCUUGGUGUUGGGACUCGCGGUAACCCGCGUUCCCAAAUCGAUUGGCGGUCACGUCGAGCUUCCAUAGCGUAGUAAUCAUACACCUCGUUACUGGUAAUCGUCGCGGCCACGCCCGUAAAACCCCACUUCUGAAUGGUGACCUCCGAUCAGGUAGGAAUACCCGCUGAACUUAAGCAUAUCAUAAGCGGAGGAAAAGAAACCACAGGGAUGGCCUAAUUACGGCGAGUGAAGCGGCAACCGCUCAAAUUGAAAUUGGUCUCGGCCCAAUUGUAAUUUUAAAGGAGGCUUUGAGGGGGGCCUCAGUUCCUGGAAGGGACCCUAAAGGGGGAACCCC